GGAGGAGCUUGCUUCUCCAAGUCAGUGGCGGACGGGUGAGUAACGCGUGAGUAACCUGCCCUUCAGAGGGGGAUAACGUCUGGAAACGGACGCUAAUACCGCAUGACAUAUUUCCAUCGCAUGGUGGAGAUAUCAAAGGAGCAAUCCGCUGAAGGAUGGACUCGCGUCCGAUUAGAUAGUUGGCGGGGUAACGGCCCACCAAGUCGACGAUCGGUAGCCGGACUGAGAGGUUGAACGGCCACAUUGGGACUGAGACACGGCCCAGACUCCUACGGGAGGCAGCAGUGGGGGAUAUUGCACAAUGGGCGAAAGCCUGAUGCAGCAACGCCGCGUGAGGGAAGACGGUUUUCGGAUUGUAAACCUCUGUUCUAAGUGACGAACAAAUGACGGUAACUUAGGAGAAAGCCCCGGCUAACUACGUGCCAGCAGCCGCGGUAAUACGUAGGGGGCAAGCGUUGUCCGGAAUUACUGGGUGUAAAGGGAGCGCAGGCGGAGAAGCAAGUCAGUGGUGAAAACGAUGGGCUUAACUCAUCGACUGCCAUUGAAACUGUUUCCCUUGAGUGAAGUAGAGGCAGGCGGAAUUCCGAGUGUAGCGGUGAAAUGCGUAGAUAUUCCGGAGGAACACCAGUGGCGAAGGCGGCCUGCUGGGCUUUAACUGACGCUGAGGCUCGAAAGUGUGGGGAGCAAA
rnacentral:rRNA from 1 species